rnacentral:rRNA from 1 species
AACGAACGCUGGCGGCAUGCCUAACACAUGCAAGUCGAACGAGACCUUCGGGUCUAGUGGCGCACGGGUGCGUACCGCGUGGGAAUCUGCCCUUGGGUUCGGAAUAACAGUUGGAAACGACUGCUAAUACCGGAUGAUGACGUAAGUCCAAAGAUUUAUCGCCCAAGGAUGAGCCCGCGUAGGAUUAGCUAGUUGGUGAGGUAAAGGCUCACCAAGGCGACGAUCCUUAGCUGGUCUGAGAGGAUGAUCAGCCACACUGGGACUGAGACACGGCCCAGACUCCUACGGGAGGCAGCAGUGGGGAAUAUUGGACAAUGGGCGAAAGCCUGAUCCAGCAAUGCCGCGUGAGUGAUGAAGGCCUUAGGGUUGUAAAGCUCUUUUACCCGGGAUGAUAAUGACAGUACCGGGAGAAUAAGCUCCGGCUAACUCCGUG